rnacentral:rRNA from 1 species
CAUCAACGCUGGCGGCGUGCCUCAGACAUGCAAGUCGAACGAUUAAAGCUCUCUUCGGAGAGUGCAUAGAGUGGCGCACGGGUGAGUAACACGUAAGUAAUCUACCUUCGAGUGGGGAAUAACGUCCGGAAACGGACGCUAAUACCGCAUAAUGCAGCGGCAUCGCAAGAUGACAGUUGUUAAAGAUUUAUCGCUUGAAGAGGAGCUUGCGGCAGAUUAGCUAGUUGGUAAGGUAACGGCUUACCAAGGCUACGAUCUGUAACCGGUCUUAGAGGACGGUCGGUCACACUGACACUGAAUAACGGGUCAGACUCCUACGGGAGGCAGCAGUCGGGAAUUUUGGGCAAUGGGCGAAAGCCUGACCCAGCAACGCCGCGUGAAGGAUGAAGUAUUUCGGUAUGUAAACUUGGAAAGAAUGGGAAGAAUAAAUGACGGUACCAUUUAUAAGGUCCGGCUAACUACGUGCCAGCCGCCGCCGUAACAC